UGAAAUUAAACAAAAGUAAUAUAAUGGAUCACUUGCUUAACAAAAUAACCGAUUAUUCAAUUACAGAUUAUAAAAAUUAAUCAAUUUUUAAUUUUCAUUUGUUAUCAAGUUACCUAGAAAAAGGAGUGACAAGGUUAGAAAAAUGUGUACAAUCAAAUGGACUUCAGUUUAAUUUGACAACAAAUACAGUAUAUAAGCUUUUGGAUGAAAAUCGAUGUCACCAUCUAACGUUAAGAUGUGCACUAUCAAACGUGACUUCCCUGGUAAAGUCCAAACCAGUUGACCGCCAUAAGGUGUCGGACAUUUUAUUGGCGGUGACAAACAUAUACCACAAAAAAAGAGAAGAAAUUGGACCUCGUGUUCUUUGACAGAAUCUUCUACGUCGACGCUAUUGGUUCUAUGCUUCCUUUUAUUUAAUCCUAUGAAUUGAUCAAUCAUAAGUGAAUCGUAAGUUGAACUAUAGAAAAUUUUCUCCUUGAAAGCAAGUUUU